rnacentral:lncRNA from 1 species
AUUUUACUUCUUGCAUUCUGCUAUUGCUUGUGUGCUUUCUAGAUGAAAGCCCUGGUAGGGCAGGGAUCGUACCAUACUGAGAGCAAAUAAAAUAAAUGAAUGUCUCCUCUCCUGCCUCUGGAUAUUACAGCAAACACAGAGCACAUUGCUGUGGCCUCCAGCCAACCCCUGCAAUUCCCCGACAAAAUAGAUCGGUUGUGGACAGCGGCAGCUAGUGAGGCACAACGUGGAAGCUUUUAAUUCCUGCUUUUUAUCAUUUUAUCUCAUCACUUUGGCAUCAUCAAGGUAGCAUUUUGGUGUUCACUUCACAGGAAGGAGAGAAUGAAUGGAUACGGUCAGACCCGCGUUUUGUGUGGAAGCAAAGAAGCACGAGGAAACUGUCUCAAGUUGUACUAAGGAAGAUUUACAUUGGACAUUAGGAAGAAUUUCUUCAUAGUGGUCAAACAAUGGAAUGGGCUGUCCAAGGAAAUGAUGGGGUCCCCCUCCCCAGAGUUGUUUAUGAGAAAUGUGGAUGUGGCACGAAGGGACGUUGUUUAGUAAAAGGUCUCAGUAUAUCAGGUUGAUAGUUGGAUUUGGUGACCUUGAAGUUGUUUUCCAACCUAGAUGAUUCCCUGAUUCUGUGAUUCUGUUUAAAUGCUGAGGUUACACAUAAACAAGGCCGGGUGUCCCAGCUGGCUGGCAGCCUCUAUUUCAGGGGGAAGAGGCAAUGGGAUGGCUGGGGAAGGUGAAAUGUUGAAAAUGUGUGUUCUGAAAGCAGACUAGUAAUGAUCCUUGAGAAGAUAUUCAUUUGUGUCUAAUGUGGCUAAGGAAAAGAAGGAAGAAGAGAAACCUGAGCAAACAAAUACAUUGUGGACAGCCCAGCAGGACUGAGUUUUACAGCCAGCUCUGCUGCCCAGGAGCAUCACUUUCCUCAGCUCAUUCCAGGACGCCUGCAGCACUCUGACCCCAGCCUGACUUGUGACUGCUCAGCCCACCAGCAAGUCUGGGGGAGUGGAGAGGAGAUGAUGGGUCCUAUCUCCAGUCUGGCCAGAGGACACCUCAAGCAGUCUCAGGCUCUCUGAAGCCACAGGGCCACACCACAUCCUUCUUCCCAAAACUGCAAAUCCCAAGGGGGCUGAUAACUAGGAAAAUCCAGAGUAAAAUAUGUAGAAACUUCUUACAGAGCUUUCCCUUCAUCUGCAUUUGUAGAAGGAGUGACCAAACUCUCAAGGUUGCUAGCCUAAAGUUUGACAUCCAUUAACAAUAUACAUUUGUUUUCAACAUCUACAUAAACAGGAUCCUGUGUACCCCGUCUCCUUUAGAGAGAAAAAUAAAAAUAAACAAAUAUCAUGUGUGUAUCCAGGAACCUCACACAGAAUGCUUGCAAAAUUAUAUGUGCCCUCUGCCUGUAAAACUCUGCUGUGCUCAGGUGUUUGUAGCAUUUGGGCCUUUGUGAGAGAAAACAAGAGAAACUCAUUGACCUCAGUAUGUCUUGGGACAAAGAUUCCUGAAGAAUUAUUGUAUAGACAAGGGAAAGAAAUUCUUUAGGUUAUUAUAGAAAUUACUGGAAAAAACAUCUUUUAAGAAAAAAAAAAUGCUUGAUA